rnacentral:lncRNA from 1 species
CUGGCAGCCAAUUGCACGUUAGGUGCUGAGACCAUCAGGUAUUUUUUCAUGUGGGCAUCUGAACGGUGGUGGGACUGCAGUCUCUUUUGGUCACAAUAACCCUGAAGAUGUUUGUGACAGCUUUUUACACCUCUAUGCAAUACAGAAGGAGUUUGUGAUAAUUUCAUGCCACAGGAACCACUCUUUAGAUGCUGAGAGCAGCAUCUUCCCAAACAGCUGACUGAUCUGCAGGGGAAAGACAAGCCAGUGUGCCAGGGAUGGAGCAAGUACUGCUCUGCAUCAGCUGCUCCUGGAGAAGAGGGGAAGAACAGCAGCAGUGGUGUUGUGGAUGGUGUGGAAACCAACUUCAGCUCAGGACUUGCAAUGGCUGCUUUCCUGAAGGCUGUAACAUUUUAUGUUCCAUCACUUAUAAUGAGAACGUUCCCUCUGUGUGCUGCGUUUGCUCAAAAGGCUCACGGGUCUCCAGCUACCACCACUUUGAAGCUGUUUAAUGAUAGAUGUCCAGGCAGAUAGGCACGAACACCCAGCAGAAUGGUGGUUCCCCAUCAUUAUGCAGCACACACAGCCCAUGUGCAUACAGCCCAUGCAUCUGCAGAGCAUGCUGAAACACAGGUAAAAUCCGUCAGGAGGUGCAUAUUUUGACAGAGAAAUUCCUUACCUGUAUGAUGUGCCAUACUUAGGAAAAGGUUAAAAAUAGGAAAGGAAAGAAGAAAAAAAAAAAACAAGCCAAAAAACCCUGAACAGGCAAAUGCCCAAUGCGUAUUCCAGCUCAAUAGUCCUUUGGUAUUUUUAGCCUGGUUUCCUAAAAGUUCUCUGUCAUUUUUUCCCUCCUUCCUCCAACCUCAGUCAAAUUUGACGGUGGGGAAGAAAUCCCAAACAUUUUAGGUCUGGAAGGAAUAGCUGAGCAGAGUAUGCAGCAGAGGCAG